rnacentral:rRNA from 1 species
UACGUAGGGUGCGAGCGUUGUCCGGAAUUAUUGGGCGUAAAGGGCUCGUAGGCGGUUUGUCGCGUCGGGAGUGAAAACCCAGGGCUUAACCCUGGGCUGGCUUUCGAUACGGGCAGACUAGAGGUAUGCAGGGGAGAACGGAAUUCCGGGUGUAGCGGUGAAAUGCGUAGAUAUCCGGAGGAACACCGGUGGCGAAGGCGGCUUCCUGGACCGACACUGACGCUGAGGCGCGAAAGCUAGGGGAGCAAACGGG